CAGGGGCGGCGGCAGCGCAGAGCAGGGGCGGAAGGUCGGACGUGCGGGAGCUGCGUCCAGGGCGGCGGGCGCGGGGAGCCCCGGGGCGCGAGGGCCUGAAGGCAGGGCUGGGAGGUGCGAGCAACCUCCUCGCGCAUCCCGAGCAGACGCCGCGGCAAGCCGCGGCCAGAGACGGGGUGCGGGCCGGGGCAGGGGCGUGGCCCCGGAGGCGGGGCGGGGAGAUGCCUGGCUCUGGGGACUGGCUCAGGAGCCGCGGCAGAGGCUGGGACCCUGCGGCCGCCGGCGGCACAGUGGUGCCGCGCCCCGUCCUCACCUGCGCGGAGCAAGGAAGCAGCUUUAAGGCGUUCAAGAAAAUGCCCAAGAUCACGGAAGGGCAAAUUCGUUCUUUUAACCCGGGGCCGGGUGUCCCUCGCUUUCAGACGUGCCUUGAUUUCCUUCUAGACCCAGCUGGUGAACGCCCGAGGCCCCGGAGAGCCGUCGGGGGCGUGGCAGAGGCAGAGCCCAGCUUGCGCGGAGAGGGGCUGCCCAGGACCCCUGCCCGCCGCCCUGCCUCCGCCAGUCAGCGAUUUCGGAAACCGCAGCAGCCGGUAUCCUGGCGCACAUGGCGGGAAGCUGCCACGUUGCCCCCGUGGGGACUGAGGCCGGGCAGCACGCUCUGCAUCAUCAGGCACAUGGCCACGUCCGUCUGGAGUCGGGGUGAGGCGCCACUCAUGACUGGAGUUUAGGUCCAAAGUCCUGGCGGGCACGCACAAGAUGUAACCCAGCGGGUACACCUGCCAUCUCCGGAGGGCCCCGUGUCUGCCGGCGCCAGGGCAGCACUGCCCGUGGUUCUCACGGUGGGUCCGGGAGCCUUCAUGAAGGUUAUAGAACAUCCAAGGGCGCAGACAUGCAGGACCUCUAUCCCCCCCAACUUCCAGGAGCUCACGGUGGAGCGGUGGCUCGCGUUUUCUCCGAAUUCCCCCUCCCGGCUGGGCCGGCUCAGGACGGCCGGCUUAACGGUAACCUUCCCACGGGCAGCAUUUCUUUGCCUUCUCGCUCAGCGGAGAAAACACCGCCCUGGACUCCGGAACCCGUCUCCUCCCCUCCUGGAGCCGGUGGAGCUGGGGCUGCAGACCACCACCACUCCCUUGGAACGUCUGAGAACAAAACCCGCAGCAGGGACUGCUCCAGCACACUAACCCGGGGGCUUUGCAGCGCACCGGCCACACUCCUAAACCCACGUAUGAGUGGGACGGCUUUUCCAGCCUUGGGCAUCCUGACCUGCUUCACUCCGGGUCCCUGCACCUGUGCCACUCCAGGCGGGGCUUCCUUUUGUGGUCUGGCGGACUGGGGUGAGUAACAGAGACGGCCCCUCCCCCAGCCUGCCCAGCCCACGCUUUCCCCUAGGUGAAGACCUCCUAGGUCACCCUGGCCAAAAUGAUACGGACGGCCUCACCUAGAAGCCCUGGAGCUUUGAAGGCUGACACCAAAACCCGACAUGGCUCGAUGGGCACAACGGCCCAGUGUUCCAUGGUCUGAAAAAGCUGUUUUGACCCUUUACGUCUAUUCUCAUUGCUUUCCUGGAGGCAGCUACGCGUGGACCCUGAUUCUGUCAUUCUGGAACCAGCCAGCCACUGGUUUUUGUUUGGUCUUGUUUUUAACACAAUCUGUAAUCUUUCCUGUGUCAGGAUCCUUUUUCAGAUGUGAUGGAAGCCACAGGAAAACGUGCAGGUGAACACACACGCCCACACACUGAUCCGCAGGCUUAUGGGUAACUCUCCAUGUGGAUCUGGCGUUCUGACCACUCGCUCCAAGUGUUCAGAGGCGGCCUCUGGGAGACCAGCGGGUGGACCCGCGGGAGGGUCUUCUGCCUUCACUCCUCACUGGCUUCCCUGGUGCUCUUCAUUUCCUCCUGCAUUUUUAAAAAUUGUGGUAAAACCCGUAAUAUUUGCCACAUUAGUCAUUUAGUAGCGGACAGUGAAGGGGCACUGAGCGCUUGUGCAGUGUUGUGCGACCAUCACCACCACCAUCUCCAGAACUUUUCAUCAUCCCCGACUGAGACUCUAUCCCCAUUACACACUCACUCCUGCUCCCCUCUUCCCGCCCCCGUGCCCACCACCUCCCAGCUCACGCUUGUGAAUGUGGGCGUGUCCAUGUCUCACGAAGACCCUGCUUUCAAUUCUUUGGGGGGGAUAUACCCGGAAGUGGAAUUCCUGGGUCAUAGGUGGGUGUGUUUUUGAGCUUUGAGAAACUUCUGCACUGUUCUCCGGAGUGGCUGCACCAGUCUGCAUUCCCACCAGCAGUGCAUGAGGGUUCCAACUUCUCCACGUGCUUGUUUUUUCUUUUGUUGGGUAGUAGCCAUCCCGAUGGGCGCGAGGGUACCUCCCUGUGGUUCUGUCUGCACUGCCCUGAUGAGUGAGUGGAGCCUCUCUUCAGGCGCUUACUGGCCAGGCGUGUAUCUUCUUUGGAGAAACAUCUAUUCAGGUCCUUUGCCCACUUUGAAAUCAGGUUGUUUGUUGUGAACAAUUGUAGUUCUUCAUGUACUUUGGAUAUUAGCUCAUCAGGUAUAGGAUGUGCAAAUAUUAUUCUCUCAUUCAGGGGGCUGCCUUUUCAUUGUUGGUUGUGUCUUCUGAUACAUAAAAGGUUUUUAAUUUUGAUGUGAUCCAAUUCACAUUUUUUUCUUGGUUGCUUGAGGCUAAAGCAAUGGAAAAACCUGAAGAACCAGGAAAGGCUUUACAGGUCUUAGUGAGCAGGGAAGGUUGCCAGACAGGAGCGGGAGGAUAGUGUGACACGAGGAACAGGAAGUAAUUUUGUGUGGCUCCUGGGAAGGAGGACCUGCGUGAGGACGUCACUCAGCUUUAAGACUUCAAACAUGACAACUCAGGUACUUUCUCUUAGGAGUGUGACAAAGGUACAGAGGGCAGCGCCAAGGGGAGGAGACUGGAGGCAAGCAGGCAUCUUGGAGACCUCAUCAGGUUUGCGAGGGAAGGAGCCCGACGGUAACAGGGCUGCACAGACAUGACCAUUCAUGUAGCUGAGUCGCCGGGGCGAGGAGAGGGGCAGACAGGCAGGAAGGCAGAGGGGCACUUGGGGAGGGCGUCUCGGCCACGGCACGUCAGGAGGCAGCCCUUUGCCAUGGUGCUUGUCGAGAACCGGGAUGGGGGGCCUGUGGGAUGCGCGGUGGCCGAGGCAUUGACGUGCAGACAGGAGCGCUGACCGUCCCUGACGGGUGCGCAGAGCCAGCCAGCUUCCUGUGAAUGCAGACCUUAUUUCACACUGACUUUUUGAUUCAACAAACAUCAGGGAUCUGGGAGGGCUUCCUGGGAGUGCGAGCAUUUGGGUUAGAGAAGCUUUUUUGCCUCCUGCCUGUAGAAGUCUCUGGCAGCCUCGUUCGCUCGUGCGGCCAGUACCGCUCAACCGCGUCUUUCUUCAGUCACCAGAUAGUGGCAGGAUUUACACACGUCCAACUCUGCCUAAUGAGAGCAGGGACGUUCCCCUCGACACCCGGGACCUCCCCAGAGGGAAGCGCGCCGUGUGCGGCCGGUCCGCGGCAGGGAAUGGCGCUCCAGCGACUGCAGAGACGCGAUCCCGGAGCUGCCUGGACGGCUGGUGCAGCCCCCCACCCCCGGCGCUCCUGUGUCCCAGCAGCCCGUGCAGACAGCCACCAACAUAGCAACGCCUGGUCGCCGCGGAGAAAUGCACUCGUGCAGGAUUUUGCAGAACCCAAGGUAUUUCAUGGCAACACUAAUUCCAUCUGUGGUAUGUGAGAGGAAACGGUCGGUUCUAUAGGUAAGUACUUCCGUCUGCUUAGGGACAAAAUCAUUAGCUCCAAAGCAGGCACAUUUUGAGGUACAAUUUGUUAAAACAGGUAAAUGCCGGAAUACAGCACAUCUGGAAACGAUCGCUCUUAGGGCAUACUCUCAAAGAGCGCAAGAUAAAUACUUCCGGCAGCCGAUACGCUAUGUCACGCGGGGUGAGCCUGAGGUGUGCCCGCUCGGUAAGGGGCGGCUCACCGGGAGACCCCACAGAAGGGCGAGGGUUGGGGCGGAAGAGCUUGAGGACCCUGAGGCUGCACCUGUGAAGUGUGUGAUCUCUCCACCUGGAGAAACCCCAGCAGAGCGGGGAGGGGCGCCCGAAAAAGCAACGUCCUGAGUGUGUGACUGUCAUCAAAGCCCCACAGGAGUACGGAGAAUUCCUCUAACGUGGGAUUCAGUUCAUUUGUGUUUGUGUCUGUAUUCAGGACUUGGCUGAGAGGAUGUGCAGCUAAGGAAUGAUCGAGUGGGUCACAACUGUUUCUGGGGAAGCCACUUGAGGAAGACGCCCGGUGAGCACAGCGAGCGCAGCCCCCAACGUCUGCGACGGCACUGCUCUUAACUAUGCGGACGCGCCACACGUGCUGUGCAGUAAACGUCAGCUCCUGACCUGCGAAGACGGCCGACGACUCGGUCCAAUGGGAAGCGUCAGGGCGCGUGGUCUCCAAGGUUCUGACCGGUGGGUGCUGUCCCUCUGGGAGUUUUUAUUACACUGGCAGAGGAUGGGUGCCUUCCAGAAAUUCUAUUUUGUCUUGAAAUUACGCAAAAAAUACAGAAUAAAGCAUCACUCAAUUCUAAGUUCAAAAGUACAUUUAUUUAAAAUGUGGCCAAGAUAUCAAUAUAAAAGAAAAGAGUAUAAGAAAUAAAAAUAAAGUACAAAACAUUUCAAAUCUUUAACAUCCAUAAUUUAGCAAGGUAUUUACAUCAUUUGUAGCUGAAGUUCUGUUAACAGUGUCGUGAAAACAUUUAAAAACCUGGCAAAUGAA